rnacentral:rRNA from 1 species
CAGCCGCCGCGGUAAUACGGAGGGGGCUAGCGUUGUUCGGAAUUACUGGGCGUAAAGCGCACGUAGGCGGCUUGGUAAGUUAGAGGUGAAAGCCCGGAGCUCGACUCCGGAAUUGCCUUUAAGACUGCCGAGCUAGCAGGUGAGAGAGGUAAGUGGAAUUCCGAGUGUAGAGGUGAAAUUCGUAGAUAUUCGGAAGAACACCAGUGGCGAAGGCGGCUUACUGGCUCAUACUGGACGCUGAGGUGCGAAAGCGUGGGGAGCAAACAGGAUUAGAUACCCGGGUAGUCCCUGUCUCUUAUAC